rnacentral:rRNA from 1 species
GACGAACGCUGGCGGCGUGCUUAACACAUGCAAGUCGAACGGACAGGCCCUGCUUUUGUGGGGUGCUCGAGUGGCGAACGGGUGAGUAAAACGUGAGUAACCUGUCCUUGACUUUGUGAUAACAUCAGGAAAAUGGGGCUAAUACAGGAUAGGAGCUCCUGAUGCAUGGGGUGGGUUGGAGAGAUUCGGCGGUUGUGGAUGGACUCGAGGCUUAUGAGCUUGUUGGUGGGGUAGUGGCUUACCAAGGCUUUGACGGGUAGCCGGCCUUAGAGGGUGACCGGCCACAUGGCGACUGAGAUACGGCGCAGACGCCUACCGUACGCAGUAGGGGGGAGUCUUGCACAAUGGGGGGAAGCGAGUUGCAGCAGCGUCGCGUUCGUGAUGACGGCUUACUGGGUGUAAACCGCUGUCGCAGGAGAUGAAGCGGGAGUGACGGUAACUGGUAAAGAAGCACCGGCUAACUACGUG